UCCAACUUUUUUUUUGGUCUGUUGUUAAAAGCCCCCCUAUCCCAUGCCUAAGUAAUAAGUAAUCUCAAUAUUACAUUCCAUCUCAUAUAAUAAAAUUUGACUUCCUAAAAGGGCUUGCUUCUUUUUAAUUCAAUGUCAAUGCUGGAAUUUCAGUUCUUAGCCUUGAAACCCUGGUGAAAAAAUUCUCAGCAAGGUAAGAAGGAAAAAAAUGUUCUCCCCUGCUCCUGAAGCUGGAGAGAACAAUAAAUGAAAACUGUUGUCAUAAAUGGUUAUUUCUAACAAUUUUUCAAACCCCUAGACUUCAAAUAUUUUGGACAGGACCUGACAAAAUGACCCUUAAUCUGUAAAACAUCUGUACUUUUGACCACUCAUCUUUCUUAAUAAUUCAGUUCUCUGGUGAUAAUGUUUGAGCUUAAAAUCUCUAUCUUCAGAAGGUAACGUGAUUUGUGAAUUUUCUGUCAAAUCAGGAAAGAAUCACUGGCAUUGCCCUCUUCCCACACAUGCAUAGGAUAAAAUAGCUCUACUGGACUUUUUAUUAAUCAAAGAGCCCGAGAGACAGCUGAAUGGCUGAACCAAGCAGAGAGUGGAAACUUGGGGAGGGUAAUUCCUUGCUGGGCCUUAAAAGGAGUCCACAAGAUAGGAAAAAAACGAAAAAGCCAAAUAAGAUGAACCUCUAUUCAGGCCCCAAUGAGAGGCUGCUUGACUCUGAUCUUUCGUUAGCUGGCUCAAAAUUUUGUUCUUAAAGAAUUAUUUUUACUCAAAAUCAAGAACUGUUAGAAAACAAGAAAAAUUAUGGAGUUUUGUUGUUGAUUUCCACCUCUCUACAUAUAUAUAUGAAAUACAUAUCUCCUCCCGAUACACAUGCACACACGCAAAAACAUAUUUAACUGAAACAACGGUUUCAUGAAACUAUAGUUACUCUCAUUACCUGUGAUGCAGGCAAGUAUUUUCAAUUGUAUUUUAUUCUAUUUCAUUCUACUUGGAAAAAAAGUCUUUUGGUCUCAACAUAAAUGGGUUCUGACCUGCAGUUUCAAGCCAAUACGUUACAGUAAGAGUAAAUGUAGGGUUUCUCCCAGUUUUAUCUGGCAGUCCCAAAGUCAGGAUCAGAGUAACCGAUGGAGCAUCAUUUGUACGCUCCACGUCUGAGGAGGAGGUCUGGGAAAAGAUCCAACGUGUAGGACUGGCGCAGAGGCUCAGGCCUGUAAUCCCAGCACUUUAAGAGGUGGAGGCGGGAGGAUAACUUGAGGUCAACAGUUCGAGACAAGCCUGGCAAACAUGGUGAAACCCCGUCUCUACUAAAAAUACAGAAAUUAUCCAGGCGUGGUGGUGCGCACCUGUAGAUCCAGCUCCUCGGGAGGCUGAGGCACGAAAAUCGCUUGAACGCGGGAGGCGGAGGUUGCAGUGAGACAAGAUCACACCACUGCACUCCAGCCUGGGCGACAGAGCGAGACCCUGUCUCAAAUAAAAAAAAUAAUAAUAAUAAUCCAAUGUGUCCCUAGUCUGGCUUUCAGGGUCUUAGAUGAGGUUCGGAAGUGGACUUAGGAGCCUUAGGAGCGCAGCCAGUGCUGUGGAUUCCCACAUCCACGGGACCUGCGGUUUCGGGUUAUUCCAUUCAGGGAUACAUGACGUCCCUCAUUUCUACCUACCAGUGGGCUGGUCAAGAUUCUCAUUUAUCAAGUCAGUUGGAGUGGGCUUAAGUAAGUUCUCAGCCAAGGCUGUGGGGUCUGGAGGACCAGAUAUCCCGACCAAAAGCCCCCCCUCCCAUUCCUUUCACACGCCUGCCGCAGAGGUGCACGGGUGCGAGUGGGGAACUGAGGCAAGAAGCAGAUGGGGCGGCACCGAGAGAAGAGAAACUACGCUAGAGGAAAAGCUCGAGCUGUUACCCCUCCCAACUUCUUCCGCCUUCCGCCUUCCCCCUUCCCCCUCUUUCCCCUCUUGCCCCUCUCCAGCUUUUCUGGUCCAACCCUCUUCUGCGCCUAACACUGGCACCUCCUUUUCUUCCGGCUGAUGAAUAAUUGUCCGCAAACCAGCCUCUCUGGGGCACUGAGGGGCGGGAAGGUUAGAAGGAGCCAGGGCUAGAGUCCUGGAAGGUGGCAGUCAGGUCGCAGGGCCACAGCAGUCACUCUGCGACUCUCUCUUCCGGUGUUUCUCCAGCGCCAAGCGGGAGAAGACGGAGCCUGGGAGCUGGGACUGGAGGAGCGGGAAGCGCAGUAUCGGGACCACGGCUCUGGGACCAGGAAAAACGCAGACUCUCCAGAGUCAAUGUCUACUUCAGCCAGCUCAAGGGCGCGACAACCUGGCGCCGAGCAUCUCAGGCCGCCGCGGGGACCCCCCCUAAGGGACUCGGGAACACCUGCCUACCCUAGAAGAGGCGGAGAAUAACCCCGUAGGGAGUUAAGCGGCCUCUGCCUACAGCGUUCCUCCCGCCUCCACGGCGCCGAGCCCUGAUUGACGUUCAGCCAGGCCAAUCAUAGCCUGUGUCUGAGGCGCGCGGAGCUGGAGCGCCCAGGGCAUGUCCGCCGAUCCCAAGGAGGCAAUCUGUCAGGCGCCGCCCGGGCGGCAGUAUGCCUGAGGGGGUCCUCCGUGUUCGCGCCUCCCGCCGCCUGCACUGAAAGGUCUGUACCUGAGCCUGGAUACUUGAACAGAGGCAGACACUGCGGCUCAAAACCCCAAGGAAUAUCCUAGCUCUGAGACAAAAAUUGGGAACCUCAGCAUGAGUUUGUCACCUGAAUGAAAUAAAAAAAAUCACGUUGAAGGCUGGUGCAGUAACAUGUGCCUGUAGUCCCAGCUACUCUGGAGGCUGAGUCAGGAGGAUCACUUGAGACCAGAAGUUCAGGAAUUCAAGACUGGCUUGAGCAACAUAGCAAGACUUCAUUUCAAAACAAACAGAAAAAAGCCACCACCUUCAGUAUUUCUUGCCAAAGCAAAGGAGCCAUUUGUUCUUUACGAUGGUCAGGAAAGGAAGCAUCAAGGUCAUCAAAUGAAAAAUUUUCAGCAUUUCAGCCUCUCUGCUCAGGGAAAUAUCUGAAUCUAGAAUAUCACAACAUGAGCCAAAACCGCCCCAUUUCUCAUGCCACAUGUCACUCUUAACACAAGGUUACUCAACCUCGAGCAUGGUUGGCAUUUGGGGCUGAAUAAUUCUUUUUUGUAGGGGGCUGUCCUGGGCAUUGUAGGAUGCUCAUGAGCUACCUCAGUCUCUACCACCCACUAGAUGCCAGUAGCAUUGACCCCUGAUCUCUCUACCCAAGUUGUGACAACUAAAACCAUCUCUGGAUAAUGGAGGAACCUUAAAUGCAUAUUGCUAAGGAAAAGCCAAUCUGAAAGGAUUACAUAUUGUAUGAGUCCAACUAUAUGGUAAUCUGGAAAAGGCAAAACCAUGGAGACAGUGAAAAGGUAGUGGUUACCAGUGGUCCAUGGGAAGGGUUGGAUGAAUAGGUGGAGCACAGAGGAUUUUUAAGGCAGUGAAACUAUUCUGAAUGAUACUGUAAUGGUGGAUACAUGUCAUACCUUUGUCAAAACCAAUAAAAUAUAACAACCAAUAAAACUGCACAAAGAGUGAACCCUAAUGUAAACUAUGGACUUAAUAAUGUAUCAAUAUUGGCUCACCAAUUUUAACAAAUGUACCACACUAAUGCAAGAUGUUACUAAUAGUGGAAACUGGAGGGAAGAGGGCUUGAGGGGACAUACGGGAACUCUCUGUAAUUCCUGUUCAGUUUUUCUGUAACUGUUAAACUGUCCAAAAAAAGUCUGUUUUUAUAAAUGGAGGCAUGGUUUUAUAUGGACUAAAAUACUAUGAUUGCCUUUUUAUUUUACACAUGGUGAAAUUAGAGCAGGACAUAUUUUAAACUCAAAAUUCACAAAAUUAAUUUAUGAAAAUGUUUACCCAGAUCAAGAAUAUUAAAGAAACUUAGAUUAAUAUUGUUACCUUGAAUUUAUUUUACUGAGUAAUCCUCUAAGACUCCUCUACACAUUAUUAAUCUAGAAGGAUUUUUAAAGUCUUUAUGACAAUUAAUUAUUGGUCUACAGUCAAAUUGCGUAUCCCCAUUAACUAGAGUUAUAUUUUUCCAUUUUCUGAUCCAAAAACUUUAGGAACAGGAAAUGUUUAUUUUAGAAAACAAGAACACUUCUUAAGCAUUUGCUGUUAACAGUUAUUUUCACAUGUGCUUGUACUUAUUUUACACUUGUCAGAACAUAGUAUUUACCUUUGAACCAAGGUUUUAUAAUAAGCAAGCACUUUUUUUAUUUAGAAGUCACAUUUUCCAAGUAGAAAAAUCAUUAAAAAUUCAGUCCUCUGAAGGCUAAUUUCUUUAAAUCAUUUAACCUAAUUGUUUAAGGUAUAGAUUGGAAUUUUUCUCAGCACUCUCUUGAAAACAGGUGACAGUGGAACCCUGUUAGGUUCACAAAUCCUAGACUUUGAUUAUAUAGCCCAGGCUCAAAUUUUUCUCGAAUGUUACGAACAUUCAAAGCAUUAGGAGUCUUGGUUUCAUUUCUUAAUUUUUUUUCUUCUGGGUAUAUUUGAGACUCAUCUUGGAUUCAAAUAAAUUAAUAAUAGUCUCAUGAAACCGAUAAAAAUGGGAGCUCCAUUGAACAUGAGAGACAUUGAUUCGUAGUUUCUAACAUCCUCCAAAUGAGGAGCCCAUCCCUAAUUUAGAUGCUUCUUUCAAAGGAGGCUCCUUUCCUUCGUUAUCCAUAAUAUAGUCACACCAGUCCUGAAAAAACAUGGAACAGACUCCAGAUCUUUAUAUUUCAUACUCUAAAGUCGUACAAGCCAAUCUGCAUUUCCUCUAGUGGAAACUGUAUAGCUGGUCAUCUUUCCAGGACCCUUUUAUCAAGAAACAAUGCAGCUUCUACAUUUGUGCUGCUUCUACACCAAAACAGCUGGAAUGUAUAUAGUAUGGUUCUGGAUGCUCUUGUAUACCUCACUCUUCAUUUCUCACCUAACCCAUGUGCUAUGAUUUGAAUGUUUCUCCCCUGCAAAACUCAUGUUGAAAUGUAAUUGCCAUGAUAACAGUAUUAAUAGGUGGAAUAUUUAAGAGGUGAUUAGGGUGGGAUUGGUGAUGUUAUAAAAGGGUAAGUUCAGCCCCUUCUUGCUCUCUCUGUCACCCUUCCACCUUCCUCUGUGUGAUGAUGCAACAAAAAAGCCCUUCCCAGAUGCCAGCAUCUUGAUUUUGGACUUCUCAGCCUACAGAACUAUAAGCCAAUAAAUUUCUGUUAUUUGUUAUUAGUCUGUGAUAUUCUGUUACAGUAGCACAAAAUGGACUAUGACACCAUGUGUUUACACAGAAAGAAAAAAAUAUCAUACGGUAAUUGCUCCUAAAUAUGCAGAGAAUAUGUUCUGAUAUCCUUAGUGGAUGCCUGAAACUGCAGAUAGUACCAAACCUUAUAUAUACUAUGUUUUUUUUCCCAUACAUAUGCAUGUUAAAGUUUAUAAGUUAGGCAGAGUAAGAUAUGAACAAUAACUAAUAAUGAAAUAGAAACGUAACGAUGUGCUGUAAUAAAAGUUAUGUGACUGACGCCUCUUUUUCUUCCUCUUUCUUUCAAAAUAUCUUAAUAUUUUCAAGCCAUGGAUAACUGAAACUGCAGAAAGUGAAACUGUAGAUAAACUAUUAACUCUAUUUAAACAAUAAAAGAAUUAUAAUUAUAUUCUUGGGAAAAUUAACAAUUAUCCAAAGUCCCUUUGCAAAGGGAAAAAAAAUGCAUGUAUUGGAAAAAAUCUCAACCACAGGGUUCCCUAAGCUUUGCAAACAACAAAUAGCAUCCACCUAUCCAUCCUCAGAGAGCAACAGUUUUACUGUUAUUUAGAAAAAGCAACUAUUUC
rnacentral:lncRNA from 1 species